AACAUUGCAAAUGUAAAUGCUUUUUAAAAAUCAUUAGUGACCACCUGUUUUUUGUCUUAUGUAAAUCUCCAGUUCUUUACUUUGCACUGUAUUCCACUUAGGUUUAAUUAUAUAUUCAUUAAGUUGAGUUUUAUGUUCAUAGACUAAACUUAAAACUACAAGGGGAGGGGCCAAUGGAAAGAAAGUGCAGUAGGUAGAGCGUAGGUUUGAUCCCUCAACACUACAUGGUUCCCUGAGCACCACAAGAUGUCAUCCCCCCAUGAAAAUUAUUUUAAAAAAAACUCUUUUAGAACUUGAAGAUUUUGAGUUAAGACUUUUUUCCCUGUGAAUUGUGAAAUUUAAUGCAUAAAGCUGAUGUGGUUAGCAAGUUUAUUUUAAGAAUUGUUUAAAGAUGUUGUAGAUUCAGGUUCUUAAAUCACUCGGUAUUCCAGCUUCUAAUCAAAAACGUACAAAGACUGGGCCUGGAGUGAUAGUACAGCAGGUAGGGUGCUUGCCUUACAGGCAGCUGACCCUGGUUCAAUCCCUGGCAUCCCAUAUGGUCCGUUCCCCCCCAAACCCCAGCACCACCAGUGUUUGUGUUCACUAUGCAAAACACUAGUUUUCCCCCAUAUAUUUGGGCAAGUCCCACUUUGUAAGGUCAAAGAUAAAACCAGAAAAAAAAAAUCUCUGCCUUCUCCCCUUUUCCAAAAUAAUUCUCAGUAUACUUCUUCCUUAUCUUUAUAAAGUUCACUCUUAAUAUUUUGAACUUAUCACCUAUUUUGUUAGUCGCGUUAAGAGUAAAUUGUUUUGUAAUAAUUAGUUAUGUAGUUAUCUUUAUUCAUAAUAAUUUAGUGUUCAUAAUAAGCUUUGUCUUAAUUUUUGAGAAUGAUUUUAGUAUCCAUAAAUUCCAGGCCAGAAGUGGCUUUGAAUUGCUUUUCCUGCUAGGUAUUUUUUCCCAUUCAGAGGCUCUGGUGGAGUAGGAUGGGAAAUGUAUAUAAUAUGACCCAGUCCUGAUUACCUUUAUUAUUAUUACCUUACAUUAUUUAAACUUUGGUAGUUCAUUUUUAUGCUUUUAUUUUAGUGGAUAAAAUUUGUGUUUUUGAAUUUGGAAUGGAGACUACCACUCUAGCACGAGUUGCAUGUAUCAUACUCUUCAGCUCCAAAUCAGAAUUUCCUAAUUGUGUUUAAUGGGGAUGGGCUGAGAGGGUGGGAGACAUGGGAUAAAUUAUGUAUCACUUCUAUUCAAGAAAUAAGAAAAGGGGGAAGAGGAAUAAAAGGAAUUUUUGACAGAUGUAUCUCAUUUUAGCCAAAUUUGCUUUAAAGAAGUGGGAGAAAAGGAGGUAGCUAUUUCUUUGUGAAAUUAGGUUUGCAGUUAUUUUACAAAGUUAUGAGAUUUCAGGAAGACCAUGUAUGUAAAAUACCUACUUAUAAAUGUUAAUUCUCUUCUGACACACAUGAAGUUGCCUUGUCCUUGGCCUAACACUUAGAUGAGAGCUCUUUUAAUGACUAGUACUCAUGGUUUUGGUGUUCCUCAUAAUUAUAUUAAUGAUGAUAAAUAGGUCAAGUCCUUGAAAGGUUGAAAUCCUCUUUGUGUUUGUGGUGCUGGGAAUUGAACCUAAUGGGAAUCCCAUUAGGGGGCAUGUGCACUACCAUUGAGUCACAUCGUAAGCCCCUGAAAUUCUUUUUAAGUUGAAAAGCCUAUUAAAAAAUUUAGUUGAACUUUUCCUAAUAGAAGGUGGCAUAUUCCCACCUUCCUAAUCAGUGUCAGUUUGAUGCAUAGACUUACUAUAUCAGCGCAACAUGGAUUUCAUUUGCAGCAUAAUAAAACAGGAGACCUGGAAGUGACCUUUGAGAGUAUCUGAUUCAUCCCCCUCAUUUUACAGAUGAGGCAGGGGAGGCUCAGAAGGUGAGUGGUUGAAAGCUCUAGAACUAAUUUGUUGCAGCCCAGACUGACACAGUUUGAAGAGGAGAAGCUUCACACUCCUUCUCUCAGCAGGUCUCUAAUGUUUAUUCUGUCACCUGUUCUAUACCAUACCUUUCACAUAGUGAGUGAUACUUUGUAGUGAAUACAAUAGGACAAUCUUAAACACAUAUAUCUCUGAAUUAUACAAUAUGGCAAUGUUUGGGUAGUAAGAUUCUAUUUUGAAGCUUAGAGUUUACACGUAAUGCAUAUAGAUUUUUGGCAUUUACUGCAUUCUUAUAUAUUAUAACACUUAAAAGUUACUCUCAGUAUAUGUUGUCAUUUUGUCUGCUUAGUAGCAAAUUUGUAUUUUUAUUUGUUCUAACGAAAGCUGAUUGUAAUUUCAGUUUUAUAUCAUUAUUAUCAUACGUUAACCUGACAGAAUGACUGUUUUACGUCAUUGUAUUAGUGUUGUGAAUAAUCAUGUGAAAUGUUUUGUCAUGUACAAUAUUUGUGAAUAUAAUUUUAUGCCUUUUUUCAUGUCAUAGAAACAGUCCCAUUAAGAAAAUUUUACUUCACUGAUGUUCUCCCAUUAUGUUUCAUAAAUAAAAACAUAUUUUUCUGUGAAUAAAACAUUAAAUAAAGUACUAUUCUUUAAAAUUA